GUAAGUUGUUUAUUCAUCUAUUAGUUCAUUCAUAAACAACCAAUCUGAAAUAAUGCAUUUGAUUUGGAUGUUAUCAAUAACACUUACGUAAUUGUGACAGUAUAUUUGGUAGGUGACAAAUUCAGUUACCUUUGAGUUGCAGUUAGUGCUGAGAACUAGUGUUAAUUGGGUGUUCAGAUGGGAUUGAACUAUUUUCUAUUGUCACAGAAUAAGUAAUAUUGGUUAACAAUAUGGCUGGCGUCGGAUUUGUCCUUAUACUAGGCGCAUUUGCUUUCACGUUGUUUUGGACAUCGAAAUUCGUUCAAGAAAUAUACCAUGCACCCGGGAAUAAAACUGCACCAGUGGUGAAAAAUGUGUCUGUAGUAAACGAAACCUUCCUACCUGGAGAAUUCAUUGAAUAUGUCGAGUGAAUUGUAUUUUGGAUGUAUUAAUGAUGUUGGUGGGCACAGCUUUCUUUGGACUCUACUUAGUUACAAAAGGGGUGCGGCAGAAAUAUCUAAAACUGAGCGACGACUUUUCGGACGAAGAACCGUUAUUACCGGAGCACUGGCCUGUCAAUACGAGUACAAGUCUCUAUUAAGUACUAAAUAGUCUCUAUAAGGUCGUUAUUUCAUUAAACGGUAGCAUAUUGGUGACUACUGCCCGUUUUAUAAUCAAUCCCUAAUUUUUAAGUUACCCCUAUGACAACAAAAUUUCUGUUAUUUGUUACCAUAGGGGUCACUUAAAAAUUAGAGAUUGAUGGUAAAAACGGGCAUAAAGCUCCUAAUAUUGCUGAUUGUGCUUUGACGUGUCUGUUUUUCAAUUUUUACCUAUUCUCUAUGGGAAUACCAAUACACGAAUAAAAAUACGUAAGUUUAAAAUGUACCAUUUUAAUGCUGUUUUCAAAUUAUUUUACAGUCAAAUGUUUAAGUUUCAAAUACAGCAAUUUCAUUUGCUGAAGUUAAUUUUGUUUUGUUGUUAAUUUAAUUUAUGCGUUGAUUAAUUUCAGGUACCUAUAUACUUAAAAUUAGGUAACUAUACCGAAUAUAUAUAAAGCUUGUUCGAUUAAGUACCGUAUAUACAGGUCACUAAUAACAGU